CGCGUAGGCGGUCAUGCAAGUCAGGUGUGAAAUCCCCAGGCUUAACCUGGGAACUGCGCUUGAAACUGCAUAGCUUGAGGCCGGGAGAGGAAAGUGGAAUUCCCGGUGUAGCGGUGAAAUGCGUAGAUAUCAGGAGGAACACCGGUGGCGAAGGCGGCUUUCUGGACCGGUUCUGACGCUGGAGCGCGAAAGCGUGGGGAGCAAACG
rnacentral:rRNA from 1 species